rnacentral:rRNA from 1 species
UACGGGGGGGGCAAGCGUUGUUCGGAAUUACUGGGCGUAAAGCGUGCGCAGGCGGUUGUGCAAGACAGAUGUGAAAUCCCCGGGCUCAACCUGGGAACUGCAUUUGUGACUGCACGGCUGGAGUGCGGCAGAGGGGGAUGGAAUUCCGCGUGUAGCAGUGAAAUGCGUAGAUAUGCGGAGGAACACCGAUGGCGAAGGCAAUCCCCUGGGCCUGCACUGACGCUCAUGCACGAAAGCGUGGGGAGCAAACAGG